UAAAUGGAAGGACAAAGGAUGCGAAGAAACAUAUAACACUGUGUGCCAGAUAUACAGGGUUCCUGUUGAAGACAUAGACGAAUGCGCCACAGGCAACCCGUGUGUAAAUGGGACGUGUGUAGAUGGCAUCGGGGAUUUCACGUGUGCUUGUAACCAUGGCUGGAUCGGAGACCUUUGUGAGCAGGCUGUCGAAUGGAAAUGCUCUCAAACCAAGUGCUUCCACUUGUACCUCUGGAAACAAAUCUUUGACGAUGCCGUAACCUACUGCAGCAGCCUUAGCCCUGCGACGGUGAAUGCCACCAUCACGGGUAACUCGUCAGUGCUGUUCGUUGGCUCCGAUGCCGAGAUUAUCGAGGUCGAAACGUUGUUGGGAAUUUCAAACAGCGAGGAUGUCUGGGUCAACUGCAACGAUCGUCAGACCGAUGAUGACUUUCAGUGUUUUUCAGACGGAGAAGGUACCCUUACAAAUGUAACAAAUUGGCUUUCAGAUCAACCGAAUGGAGGAUCAUCGCAGCAAUGCGUCAUUGUGGACACCGACGAUGACAAAUGGGAAGACAAGGCAUGCGACAGUCUCUACACCACCGUCUGUCAAAUAGUGAUCUAAGAUAUUUUGUCGUGGUAACAGAUGUGUAAAUAUUUCAGAUAUCAUGGUCAAGGGGAUGAACGUCAGUCUAGUUCUGACUUCAGGGUAAUUGAUUUUUGUUAACCCAUUGCUUACUGGAACCUGGUGGUCUCUGU